rnacentral:rRNA from 1 species
GGGCGAGGCCGAGAGGCGUAGCCGAUGGACAACAGGUUGAGAUUCCUGUACUACAGUAUGACAGAACUGUGGGGACGCAGAAGGAGAGCACUACCUGGAAUGGAAUCCAGGGGCAAGCACAGGAGGGGUACGGCUGGAAAAACCGCCGUGCAACCCAAAGGUGUGACGCAUACCGAACUAAAGUAGGGAAAUGUGUGAGCCGGCUGCCGAGAAAAGCCGCUAUUGUUUGUACUGUACCCGUACCGUAAACCGACACAGGUGGAUGAGGAGAGAAUCCUAAGGCCGACGGAAGAAGCAUCGCUAAGGAACUCGGCAAAAUGACCCUGUAACUUCGGGAGAAAGGGUGCCUCGAAAGAGGCCGCAGAGAAUAGGCCCAAGCAACUGUUUAGCAAAAACACAGGUCUAUGCAAAACCGCAAGGUGAAGUAUAUGGGCUGACGCCUGCCCGGUGCUGGAAGGUUAAGGGGAGAUGUCAGGAGACGAAGCAUCGAACUUAAGCCCCAGUAAACGGCGGCCGUAACUAUAACGGUCCUAAGGUAGCGAAAUUCCUUGUCGGGUAAGUUCCGACCCGCACGAAAGGCGUAAUGAUUUGGGCGCUGUCUCGGCAAUGCAUCCGGUGAAAUUGAAGUGCCAGUGAAGAUGCUGGCUACCCGCGCCAGGACGGAAAGACCCCAUGGAGCUUUACUCCAGCUUGAUACUGGGAUUCGGUAUUGUAUGUACAGGAUAGGUGGGAGGCUGAGAAAUGGUGACGCCAGUCGCCAUGGAGCCGCUGUUGGGAUACCACCCUUGCAGUACUGGAUUUCUAACCAGCAGCCGUGAUCCGGCUGGGGGACAAUGUCAGGCGGGGAGUUUGACUGGGGCGGUCGCCUCCGAAAGGGUAUCGGAGGCGCUCAAAGGUUCCCUCAGAAUGGUCGGAAACCAUUCGAAGAGUGCAAAGGCAGAAGGGAGCUUGACUGCGACACCGACGGGUGGGGCAGGUACGAAAGUAGGACUUAGUGAUCCGGUGGUAUUAAGUGGGAAUGCCAUCGCUCAACGGAUAAAAGCUACCCUGGGAUAACAGGCUUAUCACUCCCAAGAGUUCACAUCGACGGAGUGGUUUGGCACCUCGAUGUCGGCUCAUCGCAUCCUGGGGCUGUGGUAGGUCCCAAGGGUUGGCUGUUCGCCCAUUAAAGCGGUACGCGAGCUGGGUUCAGAACGUCGUGAGACAGUUCGGUCCCUAUCCGGCGUGGGCGUAGGAUAUUUGAGAGGAGCUGACCUUAGUACGAGAGGACCGGGUUGGACUGACCUCUGGUGCACCGGUUGUCAUGCCAAUGGCACAGCCGGGUAGCCAAGUCGGGAAGGGAUAAACGCUGAAGGCAUCUAAGCGUGAAGCCCCCCUCAAGAUGAGAUAUCCCCCGCAUAAGCGGUAAGACCCCUUGAAGACGACGAGGUAGAUAGGGCAGAGGUGGAAGUGCAGUAAUGUAUGGAGCUGACUGCUACUAAUAGGUCGAAGGCUUAAC